rnacentral:lncRNA from 1 species
CCACAUAUUAAAAUUCGCAGUUUGCGCCACUUGAAACAUCACCUGAGUUCAUCAUAUAUAAAACAUAACCGGAGUUCAUACUUAGAACAUACUCCCUCUGCUAGUGUCAAAAAUGAUUUUAUAUUCUGGGACGGAGGGAGUAGUUUAGACUUAAACAACAACGGAGUUCAUAGUUAAACAAUUUUCACACUAGCAUAAAACGGAAAUUAAACUAGAUCUACUCGUCACCGGACUUGCCAUCACCGGACUUGUCGACGCUAAGGUGGUGCUCCAUCAGGGAGUUGGAGAGAACGAAGGCGAGUUGGUACUCCUCCCUUGCCUCGAACCAUGGGGCAGCCGCCUCCUUCGCCUCGAACAAUGCGACCUCCACCGCCCGGAGACGCCUCAGCGCGGGGGAAGAGGCGGUCCUACCGAUUGAACUGGGUCCACGCCCGUGCUCCGGCGCACGGGUGCCACGCGUGCACGCCACUCAUCCACCAACGGGCGGAGGGAGGGGCUCCUGGCCUCAGCGUCGUUGCGGCGCUUGCGAGGCGGCUUGCCGCCGGGACCGCCGNNN